rnacentral:lncRNA from 1 species
UAUUUGUUUUAUUGUAGUUAUACAUACAUUUACCACAUUCCACGCUCCAACCCGUUACUUUCAUUAUUUACUAAAUAUUUUAUAAUACAGGGUGAUUAUUAAAAUUUAAUAUCUAGCAAGCUGUGAACAUGUACAUAUAUUCUAUGUUUGUUCGUUUCUAUUAUGUUCUUAUCUUCUAUCUUUUUUAUGUGACAUUUCAUAGCUGGCUAGAUAUGAAAUUUAAAUGAUCACCCGGUAUGAGUAGGUAGGUAUAAUACAAUAUCUUGAUAUAGAUUUAUCAUAUUUGAAUUUUCUAAUCAAGAAAGUUAAAGUCAGUACGUUGCACUACAUAUUCAGGACGCUUUCGAGUUUCGAGAUCUAUUCAGUACCUUCCCGAUGAUAAUUCCGGCAACACUGCUGCUGAUCAACUUAACCGACCAUCUUGUUUCCUUCAUUUUGCGCCUGUUUUCCUGCUGCAGUAAUUUCUUUUUCCAGUGGUGAAUUAUUGAAUAAUUCAUAAUAUUUAAACGUAUUUUUCCGCUAUUCGCUUGACCCAAAGAUACUGAUUCAUCUGGUGCUGCUGCUGCUGCUGCUCACCUUUGUGAAAAACAAAAUACACGUGCAUCGUGCAUUCCACAGCACUGUGUACGAGUACUGUUUACUUUCGAAUAAAGUGACUAGUUCAAUAGUUUACUCCGGCUUUUCGUUAAAAUCAGCACAUGGAAAUGCGCGACGUCUUGAAGUUGCACACUGGCGAUGGGGGCGACGUUGAGUGGACAUUCAUGGAAGC